rnacentral:misc_RNA from 1 species
GUUACUAUUUAAAGCAGACAUCCAAAUACAAAAAAGGCGCAUGUAAAAAGUUGGGUGGCCCAGAGGACCGCCCAAGAGGUGCACAGGGGUGUGGAAGUGAAGGAGACGUGCACAUGCCCCGAGAGGCCAGCACAGUCUCCGGUUUCAAAUUCAAUAAUGAUCCUUCCGCAGGUUCACCUACGGAAA